rnacentral:lncRNA from 1 species
AUGUGUGAUUGGCUGGUUGUUGUGUGUUACUGGCUGGUUGUUGUGUGUUACUGGCUGGUUGUUAUGUGUGAUUGGCUGGUUGUUGUGUGUGUGAUUGGCUGGUUGUUGUGUGUGUUACUGGCUGGUUGUUGUGUGUGUUACUUGCUGGUUGUUGUGUGUUACUGGCUGGUUGUUGUGUGUUACUGGCUGGUUGUUGUGUGUGUUACUGGCUGGUUGUUGUGUGUGUUACUGGCUGGUUGUUGUGUGUGUUACUGGCUGGUUGUUGUGUGUUACUGGCUGGUUGUUGUGUGUGUUACUGGCUGGUUGUUGUGUGUGUUACUGGCUGGUUGUUGUGUGUUACUGGCUGGUUGUUGUGUGUGUUACUGGCUGGUUGUUGUGUGUGUUACUGGCUGGUUGUUGUGUGUGUUACUGGCUGGUUGUUGUGUGUUACUGGCUGGUUGUUAUGUGUUACUGGCUGGUUGUUAUGUGUUACUGGCUGGUUGUUGUGUGUUACUGGCUGGUUGUUGUGUGUACUGGCUGGUUGUUGUGUGUGUUACUGGCUGGUUGUUGUGUGUGUUACUGGCUGGUUGUUGUGUGUGUUACUGGCUGGUUGUUGUGUGUGUUACUGGCUGGUUGUUGUGUGUGUUACUGGCUGGUUGUUGUGUGUGUUACUGGCUGGUUGUUAUGUGUGAUGGCUGGUUGUUAUGUGUGAUUGGCUGGUUGUUGUGUGUGUUACUGGCUGGUUGUUGUGUGUGUUACUGGCUGGUUGUUGUGUGUGUACUGGCUGGUUGUUGUGUGUGUUACUGGCUGGUUGUUGUGUGUGUUACUGGCUGGUUGUUGUGUGUUACUGGCUGGGUUGUUAUGUGUGAUUGGCUGGUUGUUGUGUGUGUUACUGGCUGGUUGUUGUGUGUGUUACUGGCUGGUUGUUGUGUGUGUUACUGGCUGGUUGUUAUGUGUGUACUGGCUGGUUGUUAUGUGUGUUACUGGCUGGUUGUUAUGUGUGUACUGGCUGGUUGUUAUGUGUGUUACUGGCUGGUUGUUGUGUGUUACUGGCUGGUUGUUAUGUGUGUUUACUGGCUGGUUGUUAUGUGUGUUACUGGCUGGUUGUUAUGUGUGUUACUGGCUGGUUGUUAUGUGUGUUACUGGCUGGUUGUUUUGUGUGUUACUGGCUGGUUGUUAUGUGUGUUACUGGCUGGUUGUUAUGUGUGUUACUGGCUGGUUGUUAUGUGUGUUACUGGCUGGUUGUUAUGUGUUACUGGCUGGUUGUUACAACUACAAUACCACUACUAG